rnacentral:lncRNA from 1 species
CACAAAUUACGUAAAUAUUAUGUAACAUUGAGUUGCAAUAUAUUAGCACAGAACAUACCCCAAGGGGGGAUAUUUUGUGUAUAUUAGUCACAUAUUAGUUAGCUUGAUGCGGACAUAAUGAACAGUUGGCGCACCAGUUUGUGAUCAACUAUUUACGUAAACUGUUACUUUGUGUGACUUGGUUACAUAACAUUUAUGUAAGUGCUACGAGUUUUGGUUUGCUGGGUAUAUAGAAGUUGUUCAGAUAAAAUAUUUCAAAAUUUAGUAGAGUCGUUGGGGUUGUAAUCUUCUAAAUGUGUACCCUUGCAGCUGACAACAAUUGCGAGUUUGCUCAGGUGACUUCACAGAAAUGUAUCACCAUACCCGGCAAAUGACCAAUUUUCAUGAAGGACAAAGAAACGUUCCAGUUACAUAGUCAAAGGCGGUGUUUGUCAGCUCAACUGAGUUUUAAGGAAGGAAACAACUCACACAAAUUAAGCCAAACAGGCCUAAUAAAUAUCUAGACCAACAAAACGUGUUCUGUGAAUAUGGAGAACUUCAAGAAUUUAAUGAAGAUGUUGCUGAUGACAUGCACGAAAGUGUAGAUUAGUUAGUAGAAAGAGUUAGAUUAGAGAUAUACAAUAUAAUUUUCAGUUCUAUGAAGGCCACGCAUAUUGUUAGUAUAUAUCGCUCUCGGAAAGAAACUGUUGUACGAAGAGAUGUAUUAAUUCCAUAAGUUUUGAAUAAAAUUGGUGGAUAAAAAAUAAAAAAGUGGAUCGAA